rnacentral:rRNA from 1 species
AUUGAACGCUGGCGGCAGGCUUAACACAUGCAAGUCGAACGAGUGGCGGACGGGUGAGUAAUGCUUGGGAAUCUAGCUUAUGGAGGGGUAUAACUACGGGAAACUUUAGCUAAUACCGCGUACCAUAGGAUGAGCCCAAGUGGGAUUAGGUAGUUGGUGAGGUAAAGGCUCACCAAGCCGACGAUCUCUAGCUGGUCUGAGAGGAUGACCAGCCACACUGGGACUGAGACACGGCCCAGACUCCUACGGGAGGCAGCAGUGGGGAAUAUUGCGCAAUGGGGGCAACCUGACGCAGCAAGGCCGCGUGAAUGAAGAAGGCCUUCGGGUUGUAAAGUACUUUCAGUCGAGAGGCGUUACCGAAAGAAGAAGCACCGGCUAACUCCGUGCCAGCAGCCGCGGUAAUAC